ensembl:snRNA U6 U6 spliceosomal RNA
GCACUCACUUUGGAAGCACAUAUACUAGAAUUGGAAGAUUAGCAUGGCCCCUGCACAAGGAUGACCCCCAAAUUCGUGAAGCGUUCCAUAUUAAA